ensembl:lncRNA novel transcript, antisense to PPIH
GGGCAGAAGGAACGUGACUUCCACGAGGCAGCCGCCGGGCUGGCGGGCCCCACGUUCAGGGUUGUGUCUCGGCUGAAAAAAAGGCACGCCCGAACGCUGGGCAGGGAUUACCCGGCCGGACCCGGGAUUGGAAGGGGGCUCGAAGACGCCUUAGCCCCCCGUGAAGAAAAGGCUUCCCUCCCUCCCAGCUCCAAAUACGGUCCCUGUGAUCUGAGAACAUUACGGCGGGCAUAGAGUCGUCUUUUCUUUAAUGGCCGUGUAGUCGCGGCACAGCCGAGGGUUUCUGGAAUUGCCUUAAACGUAUGCGUUUGAAGAGCGUACCCUUUUGUCGGAGCAGUCACCUUGGAGGGACCACGCAGGCUAUGGCAGCCCGGGUUCAGCAUGUUUAGGGCGAGGGUGUGCUCCAUGGGGACCUGCCUUCUGAUCCGUUUUACCAGGCAUAUAUUUAAAAAAAUGUGUCUUCCUUUCCAAGUAUUCACAUCUUUUUCUACUGACCACAAAUCAGAUUUAAUUCAACUCACAUUUAUUGAACAAGCUAGCCUGUUUUGUUUUUUCACUUUAUUCCUGCAACAGCCACGUGAUAGAGGGAUUACUAUCCACGUUUCACAAACGAUAAAAUUGAGGCUGCCACCUGAUGUUACUGAAGUCCUCCACCCACCUUCUUUCGUUCUUUUUUAAGCGUCUACUAUCGGCUGGGGAUGGAAUAGUUCGCGAGUCAGUUUCUGCCUUCUGAUGGAGGCAGAAAUUUAAACAGCCAACACGGUUUCGGUCCCAGAGGUAAAGAGAAAGGGAAGUCCACACUCUGGGUUUAUGGCCUUGAAGUCGAGCAAGCUAUACUAAGAGAACAGAACAAGGUCUUGCUCUGUCGCCCAGGCUGGAGUGCAGUGGUAUGAACAUGGCUCACUGCAGCCUUGAAUUGACCUCCUGGGCUCAAGGGAUCCUCCUACCUCAGCCUACCAAGUACCUGGGACUACAGGCGCACACCACCAAAAAUAAAAAAAUAAAAAAUAACUUUUCUUAUUUUUGUAGAGACAGGGUCUUACUAUGUUGCCAAGCUGUUCUCAAACUCCUGGGAUCAAGCAAUCCUCCCAGCAUCCCAAGAGCCUAAUCCCCCAGGAAAUAUUUCUGAAAGACUCCAGGAUGGCUUGCCAAGAGCCUUACCUGUGGAAGGUGCUUCCUUUGUAUCCUAUUGGAACCCCAUCUUUCCUAUAACCGAAAAGAAAGAGACUUGGAGUGACAGCAGGUAGCACAAGGCCUUUCCAGUUUACCAUGCACUGGAGCCAAAAGGACUCUCCUAAAGAUGGUUGACAGACAUAAAGAAGGCAAAUAAACUAGGGACAGACCCUUGGGGCAUUACCUUCUAUCACUGUCACCAGCAAUCAUUCAAGGCCAGCAGGUGGUUCACCGAUACCCUCACUGCAGCCCCAGAACACCCCUCUGGAGCAGGCAAAGAAGUCAAACACAUCUGAAACUGACCUGAAUUCUCCGGUGCAGAACUGCCUGAAAGGGACAAAAAAUGAAUGAUUCAAUCACUAUGAUGUCACAGUCGUGAGCGCCUCUAAAUACGGGAAAGAAUAAACACUGGAGCCAGCAAGUCCACCAAUCGGCCAGCCAGACGUCCAGACACGCAGUCACACAGACUAACAACGUAAAUUAACACGGGAACAAUCCAAACGGCAACCAGACAGAGCAAUGCAUGGAGGAAUCAGGUCUCAAGAGCAGUGAGCGGACGGACAGAGGUAGACAGGCUAUUUCAGGCGGCUGACUGGAGCCCGACUUCUGCCUCAGCUAAUCCAGCGGAGCUGGAGCACGUCCUUACCUAAAGUUCUCGGCCGUCUUAGGCACAACGUCUGCAAAGAGCUCGAUCUUCAUGCGGCCAACUUCCUGCAAUCAGCGGGAGAGUGUCAGAAGGCCCAGUCCAAGACCAUGAGGGCUUCACGGAGCAGGGGGCAUGAUGGGCUGACCCACCACCCUGCCGCUCGGUAUCUCCCACCUCCGCCUCCCUAGUCUAACCGCCCAGUUCCUCCAGAAGCGGGGCGCU